rnacentral:rRNA from 1 species
CGCGGCCUAUCAGCUUGUUGGUGGGGUGAUGGCCUACCAAGGCGACGACGGGUAGCCGGCCUGAGAGGGCGACCGGCCACACUGGGACUGAGACACGGCCCAGACUCCUACGGGAGGCAGCAGUGGGGAAUAUUGCACAAUGGGCGAAAGCCUGAUGCAGCGACGCCGCGUGAGGGAUGAAGGCCUUCGGGUUGUAAACCUCUUUCAGCAGGGAAGAAGCGCAAGUGACGGUACCUGCAGAAGAAGCGCCGGCUAACUACGUGCCAGCAGCCGCGGUAAUACGUAGGGCGCAAGCGUUGUCCGGAAUUAUUGGGCGUAAAGAGCUCGUAGGCGGUUUGUCGCGUCUGCUGUGAAAACUCAAGGCUCAACCUUGGGCUUGCAGUGGGUACGGGCAGACUAGAGUGCGGUAGGGGUGACUGGAAUUCCUGGUGUAGCGGUGGAAUACGCAGAUAUCAGGAGGAACACCGAUGGCGAAGGCAGGUCACUGGGCCGCAACUGACGCUGAGGAGCGAAAGCAUGGGGAGCGAACAGGAUUAGAUACCCUGGUAGUCCAUGCCGUAAACGUUGGGCACUAGGUGUGGGGCUCAUUCCACGAGUUCCGUGCCGCAGCAAACGCAUUAAGUGCCCCGCCUGGGGAGUACGG